UAGCCUUUCCAUCGAGUCUUACUCAACUUACACAUGCAAGUUUCCGCACCCCGGUGAGAACGCCCUUCUACUCCUCAUGGACUAAGGAGCUGGUAUCAGGCGCUAACACACGCCCACAACACCUAGCCUUGCCACACCCACAACGGGUACUCAGCAGUGAUUAACAUUAAAAAUUAGCGACAGCUAGAUUUAGUUAGAGUAAACAGAGCCGGCAAACCUGGUGCCAGCCGCCGCGGCUACACCACGGGGCUCAACUUGAUGAACACCGGCGUAAAGCGUGAUUAAAGCAAGACUCAACCUUAGAGUUAAACCAUGACCGAGCUGUGAUAAGCCUGUCACUAGGAAACCCUAAAACGAAAGUUACUCUAACCCCACCCACUUGAACUCACGACAGCCUAGACACAAACUGAGAUUAGAUACCUCACUAUGCUAAGCCGUAAACCUUUUACUUACACCUACCCC
rnacentral:rRNA from 1 species